rnacentral:tRNA from 1 species
GGGCUAUUAGCGCAGUUAGGUAGCGCAUCCGGCUCUUAACCGGCAGGUCGGGGGUUCAAUGGCAAAGUUUGAAUCUCUCAAACGGUUGGAAAUCCCUCAUAGCCCG